UACGUAGGGUGCAAGCGUUAAUCGGAAUUACUGGGCGUAAAGCGUGCGCAGGCGGUUAUGCAAGCCAGAUGUGAAAGCCCCGGGCUCAACCUGGGAAUGGCAUUUGGGACUGCAAGGCUUGAGUGCGGCAGAGGAGACUGGAAUUCCUGGUGUAGCAGUGAAAUGCGUAGAUAUCAGGAGGAAUACCGAUGGCGAAGGCAGGUCUCUGGGCUGACACUGACGCUCAUGCACGAAAGCGUGGGGAGCAAACAGG
rnacentral:rRNA from 1 species